GGUUAUGCUGUGAGAAAUGCAUCACUGGGCAUUUACUGUGCGAACAUCAUAGCGUGUACUUACACAAACCUAGAUGGUAAAGCCUACUACACACCUAGGUUAUGUG